rnacentral:rRNA from 1 species
GGGGAAUUUUGGACAAUGGGGGCAACCCUGAUCCAGCCAUGCCGCGUGCAGGAUGAAGGCCUUCGGGUUGUAAACUGCUUUUGUACGGAACGAAAAGACUCUGGUUAAUACCUGGGGUCCAUGACGGUACCGUAAGAAUAAGCACCGGCUAACUACGUGCCAGCAGCCGCGGUAAUACGUAGGGUGCAAGCGUUAAUCGGAAUUACUGGGCGUAAAGCGUGCGCAGGCGGUGAUGUAAGACAGAGGUGAAAUCCCCGGGCUCAACCUGGGAACUGCCGUUGUGACUGCAUCGCUGGAGUGCGGCAGAGGGGGAUGGAAUUCCGCGUGUAGCAGUGAAAUGCGUAGAUAUGCGGAGGAACACCGAUGGCGAAGGCAAUCCCCUGGGCCUGCACUGACGCUCAUGCACGAAAGCGUGGGGAGCAAAC